CCAUAAACCUAAUGCCUGUUUCUCACUUAUGGGCUCUCUUCCAAAACCUGGUGCGCUGCCCACAUACUCCUGAUCCUGCUAAAGCAUAAAUACGGCCGUCUACAGGGAGCCACGCCUGAACUCCUGAUGUUUCUCCAUCUGUUUAAAGAUCUACGGGAGCUUCAGCCUUCGGUGCGCUCGCAUGUGUCUCUGCUUCUCGCUGCGAGUUUACCUGCGAGGGAAGAAACACAUCAGCGACGGUGUCAUUAACUGCUCAAGAGCACAAGACUGAUAUGGAAAGGUAGCUUAUGGUGUUUGUUCCUCUAUUAAAAACUCCUCCAGAUGGGGAAGGAACCCGAGACUGUCAUUUACCUCCUCUUCGCGCCUUCAUUAGUGUCUUGCGCAGGAUUUUGGAAGGC
ensembl:lncRNA